rnacentral:rRNA from 1 species
UACGUAGGGGGGCUAGCGUUGUCCGGAAUCAUUGGGCGUAAAGCGCGUGUAGGCGGUCCGGUAAGUCCGCUGUGAAAGUCGGGGGGCUCAACCCUCGGAUGCCGGUGGAUACUGUCGGGCUUGAGUACGGAAGAGGCGAGUGGAAUCCUGGUGUAGCGGUGAAAUGCGCAGAUAUCAGGAGGAACACCAAUGCGAAGGCAGCUCGCUGGGACGUUACUGACGCUGAGACGCGAAAGCGUGGGGAGCAAACAGG